rnacentral:lncRNA from 1 species
GUCUGUUCCUAUUUUCUUCUCAGUAGCUCCUUCACCUGUCCUCUUUUUUUCAUUUUCCCCUUCAUUUUAUUUUGUCCCUGCAUGUUCAUAUUUACCUUGAUAAAACUGUUACAAAAAGGUCGACAGACGAGUUCCUAAGUCACUACAAGUCGUAACGAAUAUAACUUUACCGGUAAAUUUGUCAAAUUAGGAAAAACACGAAAUAUUCAGUUUACAAUCGUUAAUUUGCGCUUUGACUGAAGUCUGAC